UGCCAUCAGGGCAAUUUUAAAGAUUUUGAAUUCCCUUCAUGUACUACUUUGUGAGCUUAAUUAUAUCAUUUUUGUUUUAAUUAGGCAAUACUUAUUAAUAAUAUAUUGAUCAUAAUGGUAAUUGUAUUGUAAUAAUAGAUCAACUUUCAUUAAAAAGUUUCCUGGCUUAUUGCCCAAGAAAAUGUUUAAUUUUCAAAAAGACAUCAAUCGUAGGAAGUUGUGGAUCAAUGCCAUGAAACGUGCGAAUUGGACUCCUACCAAAGACUCCAGAGUUUGCCAAGAAUCACCGGGACGCGAACGUACACACAUCAAGUUCAAGAGAAUGCUUCCGUUUAACUGAAACAGAGACGCAGAAGAACUUCAAAGGAAGCAAAGAGCUCUAAUGUUAGAACAUUCAUAUCCUAAAACACAUGGGACAUCAAAUAAGGAAGAUUAUUCUGAUGGCAAAGCUCAAAACCCAUUCUCAUCAGAUAUUUGUAUACAAGAAGCCCCUGAGAUUGAAGUUUUAACAUACGUACCAUGCUCUAAUUGUAUCAAUUUAGUGGCGGCAAAUAAAUUUUUGUCUGCGAAACAUCUUGGUCAAAAAUACUGCAAGAGAAUAUAAUUGAAAAUGGAAUAACAAAUAUAUCCCUGACCGGGUGUCGUAAGAUUAAGACAAAACUUAUUAGAAAAUAUUGCCAAGUUCGUCAAGUUUUGCCAAGAAUAGAAAAGCGUUCGAGGAGAAGAGAAGAAAUACUUAUGACAUCAUAGAUUAAAUAAUAUA
rnacentral:lncRNA from 1 species